ensembl:lncRNA
UUCAGAUGUCAGCGUCCAUAAAUAAAAUUUUGUUGGAACAUGGCCUGCAGUUUAGGUAUUGUCUCUGGCUGAUUGCAGACAGCAUCAGCUGAAUUGAGAGGCUGCACAACCGGGUCUGUGUGAUUCACAGAGUCUGAGGUGUUAACCAUCUGGCCCUUUGCAGGAAGCGUUUGCCAGUUCCUGCUCUAGGCUGGGACCCAGCAGACAGUUUUGAGGGGGGCUGAGGCUCAGAACCCAGGCAUUUCCAGAGAGGAGCUGUGGGUUUAGAGAGCUGGGGUGCCAGGUGCUGCUCUGGGUCCAGGCAAGGACCACUUGCCCCAGACAGAGCACAGGAUCUCGUGCUGUGGAUUUGUGCGUGUGGUUUGCAGACCAGCUGCAGAAGCGAGAGACGUCUCAGAACUGCAGCUACCAGCCUGGCCCUCUCUGGUGACUGGGAAGCUUACUCAGACUCCAGCUGUGUGGAAAUCACCAGGUGGGAAGGAAGCGCUGGGAUGCCUUACGAGGUCUGUGUUCCGAUGUUGGAAACUCGGCUUCCCGGAGCUGCCCUGGGAAUCUCCUUUCCGUAUGAGUACCUGUCCUCUCCUUGGCAGGGCAAGAGGCAUGUGCCCGGCUGGUGAUGUUUGUCUUGGGGGCUGAAAUGGUCCUGGCAUGCACGCUCUGUUUACCGCCGUGGUGUCUGGACACUGGAGGGCUUUACAUGUGCCCCUCGGCAC